CAUAUUAAAUCUUGAAAUGUUUAAAAAUAAGCUUUAAUUUCUUAUAAAGCAUUGAUACACGAAUUACUAUCAAAAAAGAACAGGUUUCAAAUAAAGUAGUGUUGUCAAUGAAUGUUGUAAAUAAAAGUGACUCUAGGUGUAAAGUAGUACGGGAGAAGGAAAUAAAGAUAACCUAUUUCUCCUGUCUAAUGUAGCCUUUAACAUGCAAUUUUUUCCUUCAACUCCUGAAAAUAUCACACUUGGAAGAGGCAUCAAAUUGUACACAGUGAUAAAGCUGGCGUGAGGAAAAUGGAAACUAACCAAGCCACAUUAUAGCACUCUACCUAUGCAUUUCAAAAGUCACCAAAAUAGAAGAGCUUUCGGAAAUUCAGCACUGAUGUUAAAAAUACACAUCAAACAAUACUAGAUACAAAAUUCCUUCCAGCUUGCUAAUACGUGUGUCACAUAAACACUAAGUAAUAUUAAGACAAUGUUAGGGAUGAUAUUUGAUAUUCAGAGAACUUCACUAAUGAUUAAGUUUCAUGUACAUCUUUUGAAAUUAACUUAUGAAGGUAUUACCCCAAAAAAGAAAGGAAAAAGCUAGACUUCUCAGGUUAUUAACUCUUACUAGCAUUUCUUCUCAUAAAAAUUCAUGAAUAUGAAUUUUUCUACCCAAAUAUACCUUUGCUACCCAAAAUGACAAGACAGCUUUAUAAACCUCUUAAAACUAAACCAGCCCUCAACUCCCCUUGCUCUGCUACUCUGAAAUGACACUGAAGUCACAUGAAGACACAUGAAGAAGUGCUGAAAUAGCACUUCUCUCCUAUUCAGGUGAGUAGCCACUGACAAGCCUGAUUCUUAAAUGACAUAGAGCAUAUCCUAGAACUUCCUAGGUUUUCCUCCUAUAGUCCUAUUUAUGACUAUUAAAAUGUAACAAAUACUUUUUGCUUAAAGUUUGACUUUUCUGCAUUAUCUUUUAUUAUUUUUUUAUAAUCAUCACGACCAGUAACAGUGGCCAUUGACAGAGACUGUACUCCAGAGCUCUGCAGUCUUCCUCCUCCAUGGCUAUGAGAUAAAGCCUGCACAGGUUCAGUGGACGGGGACAAGCGCACCUGCCACACCAGUGUUCUAACAGUGGCUGAGGAAGAGUGCUGCUGCUGCCCCUGGUUUAGCAAGACGAGGCCAGAGCUUCUCUGCAGCACCUUUCAGACUGGUGAAAACCAGAUUGCAGAACUGCUGCUCAAGGUGCCGUAAGAAUAGCUGCGGUAAGAGGGUAAAAUGCAGGAGCCACCGUUGGGAAGCCAUCAGAUAGCUCUGCAACCAUCGACCCCAGUAACCUCAACUUUUACAGUGAUUAUCUACCAUCAUAUACACAACUUGAUAGAACAUUAUACUUUUUUUUUUUACUACUUCCAGCUCCAAAAUAUUCGGGCUUGCAAGACAUAGAUUUUCAAAGAUUUUUCUUUUAUGGGCCACCAUCUGCAUUUUACCUAUCCUUUCCAUAAAAGCAAGGAAAUAUUUUGUUUAGAAAGGUGAACAUUAGUUUAUCCUGCAACCCACGGAUAACUGGUACUUCUAGCCAGCAAAAAAAGCACAUACACAAAAACUUCUUU
ensembl:lncRNA